AGUGAACGCUGGCGGUAGGCCUAACACAUGCAAGUCGAACGGCAGCACAGUAAGAGCUUGCUCUUACGGGUGGCGAGUGGCGGACGGGUGAGGAAUACAUCGGAAUCUACUUUUUCGUGGGGGAUAACGUGGGGAAACUUACGCUAAUACCGCAUACGACCUACGGGUGAAAGCAGGGGAUCUUCGGACCUUGCGCGAUUGAAUGAGCCGAUGUCGGAUUAGCUAGUUGGCGGGGUAAAGGCUCACCAAGGCGACGAUCCGUAGCUGGUCUGAGAGGAUGAUCAGCCACACUGGAACUGAGACACGGUCCAGACUCCUACGGGAGGCAGCAGUGGGGAAUAUUGGACAAUGGGCGCAAGCCUGAUCCAGCCAUACCGCGUGGGUGAAGAAGGCCUUCGGGUUGUAAAGCCCUUUUGUUGGGAAAGAAAAGCAGCAGGUUAAUACCCCGCUGUUCUGACGGUACCCAAAGAAUAAGCACCGGCUAACUUCGUG
rnacentral:rRNA from 1 species